GAUGAAGAACGUAGCGAAAUGCGAUACGUAAUGUGAAUUGCAAAUUCAGUGAAUCAUCGAGUCUUUGAACGCACAUUGCGCCCCCUGGUAUUCCGGGGGGCAUGCCUGUCCGAGCGUCAUUGCUGCCCUCAAGCACGGCUUGCGUGUUGGGCCUCCGCCCCCCGGCUCCCGGGGGGCGGGCCCGAAAGGCAGCGGCGGCACCGCGUCCGGUCCUCGAGCGUAUGGGGCUUCGUCACCCGCUCCGUAGGCCCGGCCGGCGCCCGCCGGCGACCCCCCUCAAUCUUUCCAGGUUGACCUCGGAUCAGGUAGGGAUACCCGCUGAACUUAAGCAUAUCAAUAAGCGGAGGA
rnacentral:misc_RNA from 1 species